AGCAGUCGCCGCGGUAAUACAGAGGGUGCAAGCGUUAAUCGGAUUUACUGGGCGUAAAGCGCGCGUAGGUGGUUUGUUAAGUUGGAUGUGAAAGCCCCGGGCUCAACCUAGGAACUGCAUCCAAAACUGGCAAGCUAGAGUACGGGAGAGGGUGGUAGAAUUUCAGGUGUAGCGGUGAAAUGCGUAGAUAUAGGAAGGAACACCAGUGGCGAAGGCGACCACCUGGACUGAUACUGACACUGAGGUACGAAAGCGUGGGGAGCAAACAGGAUUAGAUACCCCAGUAGUCCCUGUCUCUUAUAC
rnacentral:rRNA from 1 species